rnacentral:tRNA from 1 species
GCCAGGGUGGCAGAAUCCGGUAACGCGCCGGUCUUGAGAACCGGUGCCCUCACGGGCUUUAGGGUUCAAAUCCCUACCCUGGCG